GUUGACUUUGACACCCAUCACCUGAUAGGGUGGAUGAGUCUGGUUGGAUAGAGAAGUUGGCAACACAAGUCAGCGCAGAACAACGAUGGCUAGCCCAAAGGAUGAGGGUGAGGAGCCCGAACGGAAUCAACUCUCAGGUUCCUCAGAUGACUCCAAGACCAGUGAGGGGCUGAGAGCUAAAUGCAAACCCACCCAGGAGCUGCAGACUCAGUAUGAAGUCAGAACGCUGCUUGUUCGAUCCAUUACAACUUCUAAGACAAGACCGUGGUGUGGUCCCUGACAAACUGAUCUCUGGUUCCUUCAAAAACCCUCUCCCCUUUCUCUUCACUGUCUCCUGUAGCCCUUAGCAACUGACAUUGAUAAUUACUUUUUCCAUUCAGUUCAACCAAAUUUAUUGGGUGCCAGGCUCCGUGCGUGGUGGGUUUAGGGUGUGAGUCUGGUGUUUUCUAUAACAUGCAGUGAGGGGUGUGUCUCAUAGAACUUGGCGUUAACAAACUCCUUAGGCUAUACUGAUUGUCUAUUAGUAUUAGUAAUUUAUUGUUUACAGAUUAUUCUCCACUAAUACAUUGUUCCUUCAAAGCUGGCUGCCUUGGCUGAUUACCCUAAUCUCAUUAUGUAGAGAGGAAAGGAAAGCUCGACAGGUGCAGGAACACCCCUGAGUCCAGUUGUAUGAAUACAAAUAUCAAAAACAAAGUCCAUGGAGACACAGACCCCACUUCCUCCCCAGCCUCCUCUCUCUGUUGCUUUCUGGCAGCCCAUGCUCUGGCCCACCUGAAUUCCUUUCAGGUCCUCAGACACACCCACUUUCUAUCACCUGCACACUCUUGUAUUAAUAUUCACUCAUCUGUCUGCCCAGCACUGACCUCUCGCUGUCACCGCGUUUCGGGUCGCAAAUAGCUACCUCUUCCCUCAACCUUUCCCCCCACGGACACCCCUGCACCCCACACGAAGUACUUGUUGAAAUAGAGCUUCUGGCCAGGCACAGUAACUCGCGCCUGUAAUCCCAGCACUUUGGGAGGCCAAGGUUGGUGGAUCACCUGAGGUCAGGAGUCCGAGACCAGCCUAGCUAACAUGGUGAAACCCCGUCUCUACUGAAAAUAAAAAAAAUUAGCUGAAUUAGCUGGGUGUGGUGGCGGGUGCCUGUAAUCCCAGCUAUUCCAGAGGCUGAGGCAGGAGAAUCGCUUGAAUCCAGGAGGCAGAGGUUGCGGUGAGCUGAGAUCAUUCCACUGAACUCCAGCCCAGGCAACGAGGG
rnacentral:lncRNA from 10 species